rnacentral:rRNA from 1 species
ACAGCAGUCGCCGCGGGAAAACGAAGGGUGCAAGCGUUACUCGGAAUUACUGGGCGUAAAGCGUGCGUAGGUGGUGGUUUAAGUCCGUUGUGAAAGCCCUGGGCUCAACCUGGGAAUUGCAGUGGAUACUGGGUCACUAGAGUGUGGUAGAGGAUAGUGGAAUUUCCGGUGUAGCAGUGAAAUGCGUAGAGAUCUGGAGGAAUACCGAUGGCGAAGGCAGCCAUCUGGCCUAAUACUGACGCUGAGGUACGAAAGCAUGGGGAGCAAACAGGAUUAGAUACCCGAGUAGUCCCUGUCUCUUAUAC